AUUGAACGCUGGCGGCAGGCCUAACACAUGCAAGUCGAGCGAGCGGCGGACGGGUGAGUAAUGUAUGGGGAUCUGCCCGAUCGAGGGGGCUAACUACUGGAACCGGUGGCUAAUACCGCAUACUAUCGGAUGAACCCAGAUGGGAUUAGCUAGUCGGUGGGGUAAAGGCUCACCUAGGCGACGAUCUCUAGCUGGUCUGAGAGGCUGAUCAGCCACACUGGGACUGAGACACGGCCCAGACUCCUACGGGAGGCAGCAGUGGGGAAUAUUGGACAAUGGACGAAAGUCUGAUGGAGCCAUGCCGCGUGUAUGAAGAAGGCUUUAGGGUUGUAAAGUGCUUUUGGUAGGGAGGCGUUAUCUACAGAAGAAGCACCGGCUAACUCCGUGCCAGCAGCCGCGGUAAUAC
rnacentral:rRNA from 1 species